rnacentral:rRNA from 1 species
CCUACGGGGGGCAGCAGUGGGGAAUCUUGCUCAAUGGGCGAAAGCCUGACGCAGCGACGCCGCGUGAGGGAUGAAGGUCUUCGGAUCGUAAACCUCUGUCAGCAGGGAAGAACGGUCACUGUGCUAAUCAGCAGUGCAUUGACGGUACCUGCACAGGAAGCACCGGCUAACUCCGUGCCAGCAGCCGCGGUAAUACGGAGGGUGCGAGCGUUAAUCGGAAUUACUGGGCGUAAAGCGCUCGUAGGCGGUAUGUCAAGUCAAGGGUGAAAUCCCCGCGCUCAACGUGGGAACUGCCUUUGAAACUGGCAAACUGGAGUGUAGAAGAGGAUAGUGGAAUUCCAGGUGUAGGAGUGAAAUGCGUAGAUAUCUGGAGGAACAUCAGUGGCGAAGGCGACUAUCUGGCACAUAACUGACGCUGAGGAUCGAAAGCGUGGGUAGCAAACAGGAUUAGAUACCCGGGUAGUC